CCCUCUCCAGUGUAUGUGGAUGCCCCAUACACAUGACAUUUUCCAACUCAAGAAACUCGGAAUCCCUCUCUGUCCUAUAGCAAGUGGGCGCAACAUUCCAUCCAGUAGUUAGGAAAAAUGGAAUCUAAAUUUCAAAACGCUGUGAGUGAUCUCAAACGACAAAGUUGUGUGGCGAUUGAAAUCAGAAAUGAAUCUUCCUUUAAACUAUCUAAACCUGAGACUUACUGUGCCAUGGGCUGUGUUGUUCAUCCACCACCUCUUCUCAUCGGGCCAAAAACUCAGGACUUCUGCAUCUUUUCUAAAAUAGCCUUCUCUCCAUAUGGAUCAGCAGGGCUUCUAAAAUAUGAAAUUGAUGGCGAACUCCUUUUUCUUAUGUUUGGAAGUCCACUUAUAAGCUUUUGGUUCAGUCAUGAGUUUGGGUUGUAUGUCACAGAGAACAGAACAGACGGUGAUGUGGCUAAUGAGAAAUUGUAUAAUAAUUUUUCUAUUAAGUCAAAUAAAGUUAAAAAGUGCUGGAACAGCUCAGAAUCAUUGGAGUUUGAAGGCUCACGAUUUAAGAUAAUUGCCACCAUGGCACCAGCUGCAACAUCAAUAGUAAAAUUGCUUAUUGAAGAUAAAUGAGGCAAAAUAUAAAUACCUAAAGACUUCAGUUGCCAUGUUUCCCAUUUGCUCCUGCA